rnacentral:lncRNA from 10 species
UAGACACAAGGCUGCCUGGCCUCUCAGAGGAUCUUCACAUCAAACCUAGGAGAAAGGUACUAUUAUCAUCUCUAAGUUACAAAAAUGGGAACUGAGCCACCAAAUGGCUAAGUGGUUUGCCUAAGAACACAGCGCUGGGCAGACAGAGGAACCAGGGGACUUAGGCCUUGCCAAGGAGGUGACAGUUGGACUGGCCUGGAGGGACUGGCCUGGAAAGAACAGCUACAGUAUGGCCACAGGUGAGCCUG